GACGAAUGCUGGCGGCGUGCUUAACACAUGCAAGUCGAACGGUGAACAGGAGCUUGCUCCUGGGAUCAGUGGCGAACGGGUGAGUAACACGUGGGCAACCUGCCCCUCACUCUGGGAUAACUCCGGGAAACCGGGGCUAAUACCGGAUACGACCUGGAGCGACAUCUCUCCAGGUGGAAAGAACUUCGGUGAGGGAUGGGCCCGCGGCCUAUCAGCUUGUUGGUGGGGUAACGGCCUACCAAGGCGACGACGGGUAGCCGGCCUGAGAGGGCGACCGGCCACACUGGGACUGAGACACGGCCCAGACUCCUACGGGAGGCAGCAGUGGGGAAUAUUGCGCAAUGGGCGAAAGCCUGACGCAGCGACGCCGCGUGAGGGACGACGGCCUUCGGGUUGUAAACCUCUUUCAGCAGGGACGAAGCGAAAGUGACGGUACCUGCAGAAGAAGCACCGGCUAACUACGUGCCAGCCGCCGCGGUAAAAC
rnacentral:rRNA from 1 species